AGAGUUUGAUCCUGGCUCAGGACGUACGCUGGCGGCGUGCUUAACACAUGCAAGUCGAGCGAUGAAGCACCUUCGGGUGUGAAUUAGCGGCGAACGGGUGAGGAACACGUGAGAAGUCUGCCUUCAACACUGGGAUAACUCCGGGAAACCGGGGCUAAUACCGGAUACGAGACCUGCAGGCAUCUGCGGGUCUGGAAAGUUUUUCGGUUGAAGAUGAUCUCGCGGCCUAUCAGCUUGUUGGUGAGGUAAUGGCUCACCAAGGCGACGACGGGUAGCCGGCCUGAGAGGGCGACCGGCCACACUGGGACUGAGACACGGCCCAGACUCCUACGGGAGGCAGCAGUGGGGAAUAUUGGGCAAUGGAGGAAACUCUGACCCAGCGACGCCGCGUGCGGGAUGAAGGCCUUCGGGUUGUAAACCGCUUUCAGCAGGGAAGAAGCGAAAGUGACGGUACCUGCAGAAGAAGCACCGGCUAACUAUGUGCCAGCAGCCGCGGUAAUACAUAGGGUGCAAGCGUUGUCCGGAAUUAUUGGGCGUAAAGAGCUCGUAGGUGGUUCGUCACGUCGGAUGUGAAACUCUGGGGCUUAACCCCAGACCUGCAUUCGAUACGGGCGAGCUUGAGUAUGGUAGGGGAGUCUGGAAUUCCUGGUGUAGCGGUGGAAUGCGCANAUAUCAGGAGGAACACCAAUGGCGAAGGCAGGACUCUGGGCCAUUACUGACACUGAGGAGCGAAAGCGUGGAA
rnacentral:rRNA from 1 species